AUUGAACGCUGGCGGCAUGCCUUACACAUGCAAGUCGAACGGUAACAGGUCUUCGGAUGCUGACGAGUGGCGAACGGGUGAGUAAUACAUCGGAACGUGCCCGAGAGUGGGGGAUAACGAGGCGAAAGCUUUGCUAAUACCGCAUACGAUCUCAGGAUGAAAGCAGGGGACCGCAAGGCCUUGCGCUCACGGAGCGGCCGAUGGCAGAUUAGGUAGUUGGUGGGAUAAAAGCUUACCAAGCCGACGAUCUGUAGCUGGUAUGAGAGGAUGACCAGCCACACUAGUACGGAGACACGGCCCAGACUCCUACGGGAGGAAGCAGUGGGGAAUUUUGGACAAUGGGCGCAAGCCGGAUACAGCCAUGCCGCGUGCAGGAUGAAGGCCGUCGGGUGGUAAACUGCUUUUGUACGGAAGGAAAAGACGCUGGUUAAUACCUGGGGUCCAUGACGGUACCGUAGGAAUAAGCACCGGCUAACUACGUGCCAGCCGCCGCAGUAAGAC
rnacentral:rRNA from 1 species